rnacentral:tRNA from 1 species
GCUGGUGUAGCUCAACGGUAGAGCAGCUGAUUUGUAAUCAGCAGGUUGGGGGUUCAAAUCCCUUCGCCAGCUCCA